GGUUAAAGGUACCCGUACCGCAAACCGACACAGGUGGGUGAGGAGAGUAUCCUAAGGCCAGCGAGAGAACUGUUGGUAAGGAACUCGGCAAAAUGACCCCGUAACUUAGGGAUAAGGGGUGCCACCAUCAGAUGGACGCAGCGAAUAGGCCCAAGCGACUGUUUGCCAAAAACAUAGGUUUCUGCUAAGUAGCAAGACGAUGUAUAGGAGCUGACGCCUGCCCGGUGCUGGAAGGUUAAGGGGAUCUGUUAGAGCAAUCGAAGCAGUGAACUUAAGCCCCAGUAAACGGCGGCCGUAACUAUAACGGUCCUAAGGUAGCGAAAUUCCUUGUCGGGUAAGUUCCGACCCGCACGAAAGGCGUAACGAUUUGGGCACUGUCUCA
rnacentral:rRNA from 1 species